rnacentral:lncRNA from 1 species
UUCCGAUCCCUCAGUAGGAGGUCACACCGGAAGUGAUGUCGGAGGCGGUGCCUGAACUGACGACGGAUGUGGUGUUGACGGAGAUUCUGGCGGUGGCACCCGAGGUCGUGCCCGCGAGGGGGACUGAGGUCGCGUCCGGUAAUGAGGCGCUUCCUUCAGGGCCGCCUUUGCAGCCAGAGGAGGGGGCUUCUGAGGACGAGGAGCCUCUUGAAAGUAGGAGGAGCCGACUGGUCACCGGCAAAGGGAUAGCUCCAGGGAUGAGAGGGUAGAGCUACAAGCUCUGAAGAUGAAGAUAUGCCUGUGGAGGGUUCGCCCGAAAAUAGUGCCCUUUCGACCCCUCAGCAAGAGGUUACGCCGGAAGUGAUGUCCGAGGCGGCGCCUGAAAUAAUGACGGAUCUGGUGUUGGCGGGGAUUCUAACGGGGGCACCUGAGGUCGCGCCCUCGAGGGAGACCGAGGUCGCGUCUGUCAACGAGGUUCUUCUUUCAGGGUCGCCCUUGCAGCCAGAGGGGGCGGCUUCUGAAGAUGAGGAGCCUCUUGAAAGGAGGAGGCAUAGGCUGAUCGUCGGCAAAGGGAUAGCUACCGGAGAUGAGAGUGUAGAACUACCUUGUUGCGAGUCGGGGCGGCUUUUUGUGGCUGAUGUAAUCCGCUCGGGGAGGACUGCUCCUCGUAGGAGGGCUGAUGUCGAGGAUGGCCCGCCUUCUGCACGGGAGGAUGGCUCGUCGGCCGCAGCAAUACGGAUAAGUGCGACCGCAGAGAGGACGGGACUUGAGGCUGCCGCUGAGAGAGCAGACAGAGGAAGGAGUUCCCCGGCUCGUGUUGAAACAACGGCCGGUAGGUCCACUCGCCGCAUCGUGAUUCCCAGCGGCUAAAAUCUUAUGGAUAAAUGUGAGGAGGCAGUUACGGGUAUGACCUUUCUUUGUACGGGCACCGAAGGUGAGGCGUUGGCGGAAGUUAGUGACAAAGGCUUGUCCCGAAGGGUAGCAGGCGCGGCCUUACAGGUAAAUUUGACUAUUUUUCCCAUUUGUGUUGUAGGGGUGGUCAGCCCACGUACUGACUCAUCCUUUGAUGUUUUUUAGAUUCUUAUCUUGGAAGUGGAGAGGGGGCGGUGCUCGACGAAGAGGGCGGCCGCCCACAAAAGACUAUUGUAGAAGUAUAACCUGGUCCGUGAGGCACAUCAAAUGUUGGCUGAUGUGCACAAACAGGACCUUAAAUUAAGGUUGUUCCAUGAGGGCCUUACACAAACAGAGGAGCAAUUAAAGAAGCGACUAGCCACGCUUGAGAGGGCAGAUAAGCAGCUCGUGGCCGCGGUUGCACGAAACACUGAGUUGGAGGUUCUCCUUCGGGCGAAGGAUGAUGAGUUGGAGAUUGGUCGUGCGGUAGUGGCGGAGGCUGCUGCACUUCGGGCCCGGGUUGCGGCCUUAGCCGCUGAGCUUUGAGCUAAGGAGGCUGAGAUUGAAGCCCUUACGUGGACCACCCCAAAGGAUGUUGUGCGUCAUGAUGAGCAUGACAUGUGGGUGUAUCAUGAUGGCAGGUUGGUCGUGUUUGAAGAGCUUUUGGCAGUUGGUCGGGUCUCUAAGGCAGAAGAAGAUAGGCAAUGGUGUCUAACCCGCAUUUCUCGUGAGGCGGCCGGUUACCUCUCCGACUUGCCCGUCAGAGAGGGAUAUAACUCUAAGGAUGUCAACCUCCUGGAUUCCGCUUCUUGGAUUUCUAGGGACUACCCGCCAGGGGUGGUGAUGGUAUGAAUGCUGGUUGUGCUGGCCAGGGCGAUGGGGGUUCAUAGGAUUUUGUAUUUGUACCUUUUCUUUUGUUGUAAAUGGGACCUUUUUCUGAGGUCAGAUGUGUGUAUAUUCUUUUGGAGAUAAUAGUACAUGCCUUUUUCUUGGUGUUAUUCUUCUUUCGUUCCUUGUAACUUCUGUCGUGUUUGCAAUUGUAAUUUGAGCUUAGCUUGACAUGGGCGAUUCUAACUGUUGGCGAUGUGCCCAUUCUAUCGUAAUCAAUAUUAGGUCGACCAUUGACUAUGACGGUCUUAGCCAUGUAAGUGAAUUGACAGUUGUCGAGUCAUUUGUUCUGUUGUAGCCGACAUUGGGUUGACUAUCAGUGGCGAUGGCCUUAGCCAUGUUGAAUCACUGGCCUUGGCCAUGAUAAUGUUGAUGGCCUUAGCUAUGUAAUAGACUUCGACUAUCAUCGAGUCUUUCAUUUUGCCGUAGUCGAUAUUGGGUCGACUGUUAGCGGCGAUGGCCUUAGCCAUGUUGAAUCAAUAGCGUUAGCCAUGAUGAUUUAGAUGGCCUUAGCCAUGUAAUUGACUUCGACUGUCGCCGAGUCUUUCAUUUUUCCAUAGUCGACAUUGGGUCGACUGUUAGCGGUGAUGGCCUUAGCCAUGUUAAACCAAUGGCCUUAGCCUUGAUGAUGUUGAUGGCCUUAGCCAUGUAAUUGACUUCGACUGUCGUCGAGUCUUUCAUUUUGCCGUAGUCGACAUUGGGUCGACUGUUUGCGGCGAUGGCCUUAGCUAUUUUGAAUCAAUGGCCUUAGCCAUGAUGAUGUUUAUGGCCUUAGCCAUGUAAUUGACUUCGACUGUCGUCGAGUCUUUCGUUUUGCCAUAGUCGACAUUGGGUCGACUUUUAGCGGCGAUGGCCUUACCCUUGUAAUUGACUUCGACUGUCGUCGAGUCUUUCAUUUUGCCGUAGUCGACAUUGGGUAGAGUGUUAGUGGCGAUGGCCUUAGCCAUGUAAUUAACUUCGACUGUCAUCGAGUCGUUCGUUUUGCCGUAGUCGACAUUGGGUCGACUGUUAGCGGUGAUGGCCUUAGCCAUGUUGGAUUAAUUACCUUAGCCAUAAUGAUGUUGAUGGCCUUAGCCAUGUAAUUGACUUCGACUGUCGUCGAGUCUUUCGUUUUGUCAUAGACGACAUUUGGUCGACUGUUAGUGGCGAUGGCCUUAGCCAUGUUGAAUCAAUGGCCUUGACCAUUUCAUUCAUUGGUGAUGGUCGUAUCCUUUUCAUUCAUUGUAGAUGGCUGUAGCCUUUUCAUUCAUUGGAGAUAGCCAUAGCUUUUUCAUACAUUGGAGAUGGCCGUAGACUUUUCAUUCAUUAGAGAUGGCCAUAGCCUUUCCAUACAUUGGAGAUGGCCGUAGCCUUUUCAUUCAUUGGAGAUAGUCAUAGCUUGUUAAACAUUGGAGAUGAAGAUGGCCGUAGCCUUUUACACCUUGGAGAUGAAGAUGCCUGUAGCCUUUUACACCUUGGAGAUGUCGCUGGUCCAGUACCUGUAUCAUGUCAGGCUGGAGAGCGUAUGGAGAGGCUAAUGUGAUACACUUGUUCCACAUAUAUCUCCAGGUGUUCCCUUCAUCGCCUUGUUAAAAACUUCCCUGAUAAAACCUAGUUGGGAAAAAACUCGGGUAAGGGAACCCUUUUAGAAAUGCAAAUGUUUGAGGUGGGUGACGUUCCAGUUGUUCUGGAGUGUUUUUCCUUCCAUUGUUUCCAACUAAAAUGCCCCUUUACUGGCUGUUGCUGUGAUUUCUAGGGUCCUUCCCAGUUUGUGCCCAAUUUUCCUUCACUUGGGUCUUUGGAGGCCAAUGUCUUGGCUUUGAGGAUGUAGUCUCCUACUUUGAGCGGGUUUAUUUUUGCUCUUUUGUUAUAGUAUCUUUUGUCUUGCCAUUUUUGGGCCACCAUUCUUAUGUGGGCCAUUUCUCUUCUUUCCCCGGCUUCAUCAAGGUCUUGGAGCCUAUUUGCGUCAUUUUCUGUUUCACUGGUGUGUGAAAACCUCAGGCUUGGUUCGCCUACUUUGAUGGGUAUGACCGUGUCGGUUCCAUAAACCAAUGAGUAUGGAGUUUCCCCUGUGCUGGACUUGGGUGUGGUUAUGUGUGCCCAAAAUACUUCGCGUAGUAGUUCGGGCCAUAGCCCUUUAGCGUCUUCAAGCUUCUUCUUCAGUAUGUUCAGUAUUUUUUUAUUGGAGGAUUAUCCUUGGCCGUUAGCAGCAUGGUGGUAUGGCGUGGAGAGUAUCCUCUUGAUGCGCCAUUUUUUGAAUAAUUCGGUCGUUUUUUGACCGAUGAACUAUCGUCCGUUGUCACAACUGAUCUCUUUGGGAUUACCAAAGCGACAUAUAAUGUUCUUCCAUAUGAAGGCGAUGACCUCCUGUUCGCGUAUUUGUUCGUACGCACCUCAUUCCACCCACUUGGAAAAACAAGUAAAAUCGUACCUUUCCCCGUCCUGCGGGUAGGGGGCUGACUAUGUCCAUUCCCUCUUUGAUGAAGGGCCAGGGAGAGGUGACUGAGUGUAGGGGUUCUCCUGGUUGGUGUUUUAUUGGGGCAUAUUUUUGGCAUUGCUCACAUCGGUGGACGUAUUCUGCCGCUUCUUUCUUCUUGGUGGGCAGUAGCAACCGGCACGUAUGAUGCACCGUACAAGGGUGCAAUUACCUGUAUGGGCGCCACAAUGACCCUCAUGUACCUCUUAGAGUACUGCCCUUGUUUGGUUCCUGCCUAGACACUUGGCCAGGGGUCCACCAAACGUUCUCUUAUAGAGGUCGUUGUCGAUCAGACAAUACAGGCGGCUUGCACGCGGAGUUUCUUCGCCUCUUUCUUGUCGUGCGGCAGCGUUCCAUCCUGUAGAUAGGAUACGAACUAGUUGCGCUAGUCCCAAGAUAGAUUUACAGAAAAUACCUCAGUGUGGUCGAUGGCUGAAUGGAGGAGGGUGACCACGCCUUCUUUGUUGAUGUUUUUGGUGACUGCGGCCAAUUUUGCCAGGCUGUCCACUUUGAUGUUCCGUGCCCUCAGAACUUUUUCGAAGAGACAUUCAUUGAACGCAGCCAUCAGCCUGCGGAUUUUCGUCUGGUAUUUUUGUAGCCUUUGUUCUCUGAUCUGGUAAGUCCCAGUGACCUGGUUUACCACAAGUUGAGAAUCGCAUUGGAGGAGGAUCUAUCGAGCCCCAUAUUUGAUUGCUAGUUUCAUACCUGCAAUAACGGCCUCAUACUCGGCCUCGUUGUUAGUCGUUUCAGGGCAUCGUAUGGACUGGCAAAUUUUUUCACACGUGGGGACCUCGAGGACGAGCCCCAGUCCCGAUCCCGAUGCAUUAGCGGUGCCAUCAGUGUGAAGGACCCAUAGGUCGUUACUGGGGGAGGCAUGUUGGGCCUCGAGUUCUGCCUUCGUAAGGAUUUUCGCGUUGAAGUCGGCUAUGAAGCCAGCUAGGACUUGAGACUUGAUGGCGUUUCUUGGAAGGUAUGAGAUGUCGUGCUCGCUAAGCUCAUGGCCCAUCUUGUGAGCCGGCCUGACAUUUCAGGCUUGUGUAAGACACUCCUUAGCGGGAAGGUCGUUACCACUUUUAUGGGAUGACACUGAAAAUAAGGUCGUAGCUUCCGUGAAGCUACUACCAGUGCUAGUGCCAGUCUCUCAAGGUGUGGGUACCAAGUUUUGGCGUCCACUAGUGUUUUGCUAAUGUAAUAAAUAGGAGAUUACGUGCCAUUGUUCUCGCGUACCAGGACGGCGCUGACGGCGACCUCAAACACGGACAGAUACACCAGCUGUGGUUCACCUGGGCUUGCUUUGACUAGCAGAGGCGGCGAGGAAAGGUACGCCUUCAAAUUCUUUAGGGCCUCAACGCACUCCUCGUUCCAUUGUAGCCCCUAGUCUUUCUUCAACGCACUAAAGAAUUUAUGGCACUUGUUGGAGGAUCGUGAGAUAAACAUGGAGAGGGCGGCUAUCCAGCCCGUCAGCUUCUGUACUUGGUUUUUUCCUACUUAGCACUUAUGGGAUUGUGUCUAUUGCUUUGAUCUGAUCCGGGUUGACUUCGAUACCUCUAUGCGAUACGAGAAAUCCCAAGAACUUUCUUGAGGCCACAGGUGUUUAGUUUCAUCCUGUAUUUUCUCAAUAUUUCGAAGGCUUCCUUCAGAUGCUCAAGGUGGUCUUCUUUUCUUGACGACUUUACUAGCAUGUCGUCGAUAUAGACUUCCAUUGUUUUGCCAAGAUGAUCCUUAAACAUCUUGGUCACCAACCUUUGGUACGUGGCCCCCGCGUUUUUGAGCCCGAAGGGCAUUACUUUGUAGCAGUAUGUUCCUCGGUGAGUGAUGAAGGUCUUCUUCUCCUUAUCUUCUUCGGCCAUCAUGAUUUGAUUGUAGCCAGAAUAUGCAUCUAGGAAGCUCAAUAGUUCAUGUCCGGCCAUUGCAUCUAUUAGUUGGUCGAUGUGGGGCAGUGGGAAUAAAUCUUUUGGGCAUGCCUUGUUCAGGUCAGGGAAGUCUACGCACAUUCGCCACUUCCCAUUUUUCUUCUUGACCAUAACAAUGUUGGCGACCCACUCAUGGUACUUGGAUUCUCUGAUGGAACCAUCUUCCAGUAGUUUAUCUAUUUCCUCACUCACUGCUUCGUUUAAAGCGGCAUUGAAUUUUCUCCUCAUUUGUCACACGGGCAGGUGUAGUGGAUCAACGUUCAGUUUGUGGGUGGCGAUUUCUCGCGGAGUCCCUGGCAUAUCUGAAUGGGAAAAAGCAAACAGGUCUGCAUGGUUAGAUAGAAUUCACGAUACUUACUUGGGUUUGAAAAGUCGUGGCCGAUGUAGGCCUUCUUCGUGAGGUCGUUGUUAUCCAGUUGAAUGGGGUCAAGGUUCUCGACCGUGGCUUUGCUGUCCUCUAUGAUGUCGGGAUCUUUGAUGGCGUCCUAUGCCCGAUGGACCUUAGUCCCCGACAUGGAUGAUUGCUUUGCUUUUGCGCUCGCCCUUUCGAGUAUUUUGGUGUGGGUGUAGUCUUGAGCUAUUUUAUAGCAUUCCUGGGCAGUGUGAGGUUCACCUCGUAUGCUGAACACCCUCAUGGGGUAGGGAAUUUGAUUACUUGAUAAAAUCUGGAGGGGGCUGAUCUCAUGGCAUGUAUCCACAGACGUCCAAUGAUGGCGUUGUAUGUCGUUUCUUGGUUCAUCACGUGGAAAGUGGUUUCCAGCGUGACUCCCCCCGCCAGGACGGGUAGUGUUACUUCUCCGUAGGUUCUUUCCACUGCAUUUUCGAAACUGGUCAACAUUAUGCAGCAAGGUAUUAUCUUAUCCUCAAGUCCCAUAAGUGCAAGGACCCUUGGGUGGAUAAUACAGGUUCCGCUACCGUCGUCAACCAUAAUUCUCCUAACAUCUGUAUCUACAAUGCGCAAAGUAAUGACUAAAGCAUUGUAAUAAGGAAAAGACAAACCGUCGGUAUCGGACUUAUCGAAGGUGAUACUAUCUUCGAAGUCGUCAUACUGUCUGUGAGCGAUGGUUCGCUUGAACUUGUGAGUGGUGGUGAAUUUGACGUGAUUGAUCGCCGAGUCAUUGCCGUCCCCGAUGAUCAUGUUGAUUGUGCGUGUAGGUAAGGGAGGACUUGGAUGAUAUUUCAGGUUUGUGUAAGGUGAGUGGUGGUGAAUUUGACGUGAUUGAUCGCCGAGUCAUUGCCGUCCCCGAUGAUCAUGUUGAUUGUUUGUGUCAGUGAGGGCGGUCUUAGUGGCCCGUUGGGUUGUCCCCGCCUCCGUGCAAAAUUGAGUUUUCCUUUAUCACUGAGUAGUUCUCUCACGAACCCUUGGUUCAGCAUCCUGACCACCCCCUUACCGUAGACCUAUGCAGUCUUCGGUUUUAUGCCCUCGCUCCCCGUGGAACUCGCAUAGGGCGUUUGACUUUCGGGUGGUAGGGUCCAACUUCAUCUUUGCUGGCCAUUUUUCCUUGUUGCCCAGCUUCUCUAUUGCGUACACUACCUCUGAAUGAGAAACACAAAAGUUAUGUGUAGAUAAUAAAUGGGGCAUACCUCGCUCGUUUCGUAGGGGCGACAUGUCGCUGUAGUGCGUCCACAUGCCUUGGCGGCGGCAAAUGAGAUGAUCUGACGUAUGGUUGAUGUCUUUACCUAUUGGACGCGAGAUUUGUUCCCAUCGCUCCUCAUUGCGCCGGUCUCUCCUGAUCUCUGGGAGUAUCAUCUGUAGUCGCCGGGUAGGACCGUUAAGUUCGUCCUCAUCUGUGCGUACCUUGGCAUAGUACGCAUUGUGAAUUUCUUCCCAUGUGGUGGGAGGGUACUUCAUGAGGGGACUUAGUAGUUUCUUGGUCGACCUCGAGUUGUCCUUACUUAGCCCAUUCUGAAAAGCGGCGACUACCAUACCUUCCAAUACGUUUGGUAGGCUCAUUCUUACCCUGUUGAAUCUGGUUAGGAAGUCCCUGAGCCCUUCUCCCAUGGUUUGCCGAACAGCGAAGAUGUCGUUGACUCACGCCUCCGCUUUCUUUGCUCGUUCAUGUGCGGUGACAAACUUAUCUGCCAUUUUCUCGUACGUGGAGAUGCCCUUACCCGGUAGCUGGGAGUACCAUGUCAAAGCUCCACCUGUCAAUGUUUCGCCGAACUUCUUCAGAAGCAUGGACGGUACAUGUUCUUUUGCCAAGUCAUUACCUUUCACAACUGUGACGUAAUGGAUUAGAUGGUCCUCGGGAUCCGUGGUCCCAUCAUAUACCUUCAGAUAGGGAGGCAUUUUGAAGGUCUUUAGGAUAGAGUAUGGUGUGGCCUCCUAUGCAUAAGGUUGUUCCACAAACCGACCUACGUCGUGCUUUGACAGCAGUUUAGGAGCACCUGGGAUUUUGUCUACCCUUUCUUGAUGUUCCUUCAUUUGGUCAUGGAGCGACUUAUUUUUGUGUUACAUUUCCUCCAUCUUUCUGAGGAUGGCUGCGAGCGCUCCGCUGUUGGUUUGAGUGUCGGUGAUCACAUUUUUGCCUCGCGCGAUCUCGGGUUCAUCUUCGGCUGCAGCGAGGUCUAUUAUUGGCGUGCGUCUUACGCCAUGUUGUGUGACUUUUCGACCAAGUCGUUUACAGUGUUUGCUAGCCACUCUUUCAGUAGCUCCUUGACUUCUAGGGGUGAUUCCUUAGAUGUAGAUGUGGAAGCUACCCUUUCUCGCGGAUCCGUCAGAUCUCUAGGUGGAGGAGGUAGGGUUCCUCCACUCAUCGUGGUGCUGGGGGUUGCUUUCAAGAUGUUAUCUUCACCUGCUUCGUUGAGAGAAUCCAUGAGGUUGACCCCAACCUCGUUUAUCACUUUCUUUUUUGUACAGUUGUCAGCCAUGCUUGUUCGUACGAUACAGGGGAUGGUUGUCAGUGGGUUUUUAGGCACAAACUAUAACUUUGAUUCUCGAAAUUCCCACAGACGGCGCCAAAUUAUUUGUCUCAAAAGAUUUAUGCACUUUGUAAGCUUACAAACAAUCAAUGAAGUAUAGAGGUAAAUCGUAAUCAAGUAUAAUAAGUCAUAGAAAAAAUUAUCUAGCUAAGAUCGUAGUAGAUCUGAAAAUGUAAAAGGUUAUAGAGAGUUUUGGUUUCAGAGAGAAGCUUCCUUGCUAACAGUAGAAAGAGAAAAUAAAGUGAUGGUAUUACUCAGAAUAAUGCACCUCCCUUAUUACAAGGUAAAUGUCUCCUUUAUAUAUUAGGAGACUUUUCUCGAAACAAUCAAAAGAAAAGUACAAAAGUUGGUGGUUUCCUCGUACGGAGGAAGCCAAGCCCUAAACGGUGUCGUUCCUCCACUUAGUUAAUUAUGACGUCCUUACUUGGACCGUCCUUAUCUGGGUCGACAUGACUCAAAUGCAGCUUUGUCAUGAAGGCGUGUUCGCUAGGACGGGGACGUGGCUUGCCGAAUUUUACCUCAUAUAAUAAUAAUAAUUAUUAUUAUUAUUAUUAUUAUUAUUAUUUCUUAUUAUUAUUAUUAUUAUUAUUAUUAUUAUUAUUAUUAUUAUUAAUAUUAUUAUUAUUAUUAUUAUUAUUAUUAUUAUUAUUAUUAUUAUUAUUAUUAUUCCAAUCGGUGUCCGGUAUUCGUAUUGGAGCUCGAUUAUAUUCGGAUUCGCACCACGUAGAGUUCCAUAUGAGGGAAAGCGCUACUUACCAAAAAUUUUUCAUCUUUAAAGCUCAAGCUCGGAUCCGAAACCUUUUAUUAAGGAAAGAACAGCCUCAUCCGAUACAACACAUCUGUUGCCGGUAAGAAGUGUCUUAUUGUAUCUGCUCGAAAGUGACUUCCAUCGAAUAAAAUUAAAUUUCCUUUUGAACCAAAGUUUGAUAUAUUUAAUUAGGUUUCAAUAUGAAUAGUAGAUACCGAAUGAAAAACUAAAAAAUUGUUUGAUCUAUUUGAAAUGAAAGAGCAGAAUCCAACAAGAAAUAAUUAAUGGAAUAAAAUUCAAUAAGAAAUGAAGGAAAGGAAAUACAAAUAAGAUACAUAGUCAUACAUAUGAUGAAGAUCAUCGUAACAUAUUAGUAUGGUAACACCUUAUUAACACACAUUUAUUAUUCAGAAAAUUGACAGUAACUUAAUUAUUUAUUUUACAAGCGACACAAAACUUAGAAGGAUCAAGUAACAACAAUAACAACAUAUACAAUUUGUUUUUACAGGUAAAAUCUGGAGAUGAUAAUACAUACAGACUUCACCUCUACUUUGUAUCGGUAGAAAAACUGUUUUCGAUAGACCUUCGACUCUUUGAAGGAUCAAGCCAAAAGAACAAUAGAAAACACGACUUUUAUUAUCUGAGAUUGAAUUAAAAUUGGGUUAACUUGGAGCCAUGCAACUCUUAUACGACCUCCAACGCAUACUCUUUCGACAUUGUGAACACAUUUUCUGUACAUUGCAUUCUGCACUAGAUGUGCAACGGGAGAAACAUUUGCCUUUUAAUGAGGUAAGAUCUGGAAUUAGAACCUGCUCAAUCAUCUGUAUCUCUAAAGGAAGGACCCGCAUACCCAUCACUUGAGUGUUUGAAUGAACUGCACAAUAAAUUGUUACAAGAUACAUCAUCUUUUCAAUGAAGAAUUAACCUAAAUAUUCGUCCAUAUAUCCAACUGCUUAAAUUAAAAAUCGUUGACAGAAGGUAUAAUAUAUUUAUAGUCCAUGUAUAAUAUAUGUGUACAACCAUAGAUAAUUAGUGUAUAAGGGCAGCCCGGUGCACAAGGCAUUGCGAGGUUUACGUAAGGUCCGAGAAAGAGCCAUGUCCAAGGGUAUGAUAUAGACAACAUACCCAAAUCCAAGUAUUAGUGGCUGCUUUCGCGACUCGAAACUGUAUAAGUUUUACGCAAAUAACUUUACUGUAUAUAAUAUAUAUAGCUAUAAAAAAUAAACAAUGAGUCACACCGACUAUUUGUAUAAAGAUCAUACUGUUUAACAAAGAAACUAAUGGAUGAUCAAACAAACCUACCAGCCAGUGUUACAAGAAGAAGGCCAAAAGAGAAAGCAAGCUUGUGAGAUAGGCACACCUUAGCCAUGUUAAUACACUUUGAGAUAUAUUAGAAGAGGAGCUAAUUGUGUGAGUGCAUUUUCUUGCUUGAUGAUAAGGCCCUAUAUAGGCUUUUAAAAUUGUAUAAAUAUAGAAUUAUCUCUCUGUA